CCCUUAGAUGUUCUGGGCCGCACGCGCGCUACACUGACGAAUGCAACGAGCUUAUAACCUUGGCCGAAAGGUCUGGGUAAUCUCCAAAUUUCGUCGUGAUGGGGAUAGAUUAUUGCAAUUAUUAAUCUUCAACGAGGAAUGCCUAGUAAGCGCAAGUCAUCAGCUUGCGUUGAUUACGUCCCUGCCCUUUGUACACACCGCCCGUCGCUACUACCGAUUGAAUGGUUUAGUGAGAUCUUUGGAUUGGCGCUGUGGGGGUGGCAACGCUCCUUCAGAUUGCUGAGAAAUUGCUCAAACUUGAUCAUUUAGAGGAAGUAAAAGUCGUAACA
rnacentral:rRNA from 1 species